GGAACAAUCUUGGCCUGGCGCAGAGGCUUCCAUUUUCAAGGGACAGGUUGGUGGAGAACUAUUUCUGGACUGUUGGCUGGGUUUUUGAGCCACAGUUUGGUAGAUGCAGGGAGCUGCACACGAAGGCAAACUGCUUUAUAGUAACAUUAGAUGAUGUGUAUGAUAUUUACGGCACCAUGAUGAGCUCGAGCUCUUCACGGAUGCUGUCGAUAGAUGGGAUGUUAAUGAAAUGGACAAACUUCCAGAGUAUAUGAGGAUAUGUUUUCUAGCCCUCUUCAACACUACAAAUGACAUCGCAUACAAUGUUCAGAAAGAGAAGGGACUGGACAUAAUUCCACACCUAAAAAAAGCAUGGGCAGAUCUAUUGAAGACAUUCACGGUGGAAGCGAGGUGGUACCACCAAGGCUACACACCCAAUCUUGGAGAGUACUUGGAGAACGCACUGGUAUCGGUAUCAGUUCCCCUAAUACUGACUCUUGCUUAUUGCACCAGUGACGAUUUAACUCAGGAGGCCUUGGAUGAUUUCCAAAGCUGCCCUGAGUUUGCAAGAUGGCCGUCCAUGAUUUUUCGACUUUGUGAUGAUUUGGGUACUUCCACGGACGAGCUUGAAAGAGGCGAUGUAUCCAAAUCUAUCCAGUGCUACAUGCAUGAGACCGGUGUGUCGGAGGACGCGGCUCGUAGGCAUAUCAGGGGAUUAAUCAAGGGGAAUUGGAGAGCAAUAAACGGAGAUCGAAGUUUCACUUCGCGUUUUGAGGAAAACCUAAAAAUGAUGGCCACCAAUAUCCCUCGAAUGGCCCAAUGCAUGUAUCAGUACGGAGACGGACUCGGUAAACCCGGCCAAGUAACGAACGACCGCAUCAGGUCUUUAUUACUUGAACCUAUACCGCUGUAACAAUUUAAUUAUGGAUAAUAUAGGGAAUCUGUACUCGAAAUUAGUCUCGUCAUGAAUUGUUCGAGUCUUCGAUUAGGUUUCUUUGGGUGUGAUCAGUCAAUUGAUGGUGUGAUUCU